rnacentral:rRNA from 1 species
AAUGAACGCUGGCGGCGUGGUUAAGACAUGCAAGUCGAACGGUUUUCAAUGAAGGGCAACCGGAUUUGAAAGCAGUGGCGAACGGGUGCGUAACACGUGAACAAUCUACCUCCAAGUGGGGAAUAGCUCGCCGAAAGGCGAAUUAAUACCGCAUGUGGUGGUCUCUCGCCUGAGAGAUUUACUAAAGUCAGGGACCGCAAGGCCUGACGCUAGGAGAGGAGUUCGCGGCCUAUCAGCUAGUUGGCGAGGU